rfam:Bacteroidetes bacterium GWE2_29_8 gwe2_scaffold_2979, whole genome shotgun sequence.
CUUGUCGGGUAAGUUCCGACCUGCACGAAUGGUGUAACGAUCUGGGCACUGUCUCAGCCAUGAGCUCGGUGAAAUUGUAGUAUCGGUGAAGAUGCCGAUUACCCGCAACGGGACGGAAAGACCCCGUGCACCUUCACUAUAACUUAACAUUGCUUUUGGAUAAAUCAUGUGUAGGAUAGGUGGGAGACAUCGAAGCGAGGCCGCUAGGUUUCGUGGAGUCGACGUUGAAAUACCACCCUUGAUUUAUUUGGAAUCUAAUUCCUUUUAACGAGGAAGACAUUGUUUGGUGGGUAGUUUGACUGGGGUGGUCGCCUCCAAAAGAGUAACGGAGGCUUUCAAAGGUACCCUCAGCAUGGAUGGUAAUCAUGCGUAGAGUGCAAUAGCAUAAGGGUGCUUGACUGUGAGACAAACAAGUCGAGCAGGGUCGAAAGACGGAUAUAGUGAUCCGGUGGUUCUGUAUGGAAGGGCCAUCGCUCAAAGGAUAAAAGGUACGCCGGGGAUAACAGGCUGAUCACUCCCAAGAGCUCACAUCGACGGAGUGGUUUGGCACCUCGAUGUCGGCUCGUCACAUCCUGGGGCUGGAGAAGGUUCCAAGGGUUCGGCUGUUCGCCGAUUAAAGUGGCACGCGAGCUGGGUUCAGAACGUCGCGAGACAGUUCGGUCCCUAUCUGUUGUGGGCGCUAGAAAUUUGAGAGGACCUGACUCUAGUACGAGAGGACCGAGUUGGACAAACCUCUAGUGUACCUGCUGUGACGCCAGUUGCAUCGCAGGGUAGCUACGUUUGGACGAGAUAAAUGCUGAAAGCAUCUAAGCAUGAAGCUCCCCUCAAGAUGAGAUUUCUUUUAAGGGUCGUCAAAGACUAUGACGUUGAUAGGUUACAGGUAUAAAGGCAGUAAUGUCUGAGCCGAGUAAUACUAAUUACCCGUAAAAUUCUUUAAC